rnacentral:rRNA from 1 species
GAUGAACGCUAGCGGCAGGCUUAAUACAUGCAAGUCGAGGGGCAGCAUGAUUGUAGCAAUACAAUUGAUGGCGACCGGCAAACGGGUGCGGAACACGUACACAACCUUCCAACAAGUGGGGGAUAGCCCAGAGAAAUUUGGAUUAAUACCCCGUAACAUAAUGAAAAGGCAUCUUUUUGUUAUUAUAGCAGCAAUGCGCUUGAAGAUGGGUGUGCGGCUGAUUAGAUAGUUGGCGGGGUAACGGCCCACCAAGUCUGCGAUCAGUAACUGGUGUGAGAGCACGACCAGUCACACGGGCACUGAGACACGGGCCCGACUCCUACGGGAGGCAGCAGUAAGGAAUAUUGGUCAAUGGACGCAAGUCUGAACCAGCCAUGCCGCGUGGAGGAUGAAGGUCCUCUGGAUUGUAAACUUCUUUUAUUUGGGAAGAAAUCUACCUUUUCUUGGGUAGUUGACGGUACCAGAUGAAUAAGCACCGGCUAACUCCGUGCCAGCAGCCGCCGUAAAAC